rnacentral:rRNA from 1 species
GAUGAACGCUAGCGGCAGGCUUAACACAUGCAAGUCGAGGGGUAUAGUUCUUCGGAAUUAGAGACCGGCGCACGGGUGCGUAACGCGUAUGCAAUCUACCUUUCACAGAGGGAUAGCCCCAGAGAAAUUUGGAUUAAUACCUCAUAGUAUAGCAGUUUCGCAUGAAACCACUAUUAAAGUCACAACGGUGAAAGAUGAGCAUGCGUCCCAUUAGCUAGUUGGUAAGGUAACGGCUUACCAAGGCAACGAUGGGUAGGGGUCCUGAGAGGGAGAUCCCCCACACUGGUACUGAGACACGGACCAGACUCCUACGGGAGGCAGCAGUGAGGAAUAUUGGACAAUGGGCGCAAAGCCUGAUCCAGCCAUGCCGCGUGCAGGAUGACGGUCUAUGGAUUGUAAACUGCUUUUUAUACAGGGAAGAAAACA